CGCGUGGGUAACCUGCCCUAUACACAUGGAUAACAUACUGAAAAGCUUACUAAUACAUGAUAAUAUAUAUUUACGGCAUCGUAGAUAUAUCAAAGUGUUAGCGGUAUAGGAUGGACCCGCGUCUGAUUAGCUAGUUGGUGAGAUAACUGCCCACCAAGGCGACGAUCAGUAGCCGACCUGAGAGGGUGAUCGGCCACAUUGGAACUGAGACACGGUCCAAACUCCUACGGGAGGCAGCAGCU
rnacentral:rRNA from 1 species